UGCAUAUACAAUGUUGGGGUAAUGGGCCAACUCUGGUCCAAAUCCCAGGUUGCAUGUAACUUCACCCACAUAAAAUAAACACAACCAGAAGUACUAACACUUUACUUUACAGAACCAACAACAGGUAGUUACUCCCAUCUCAACACAAUCUAUUCCUAAUUAUUCUGUGCCACAGAACCCCCAACCAUUAGCAACCCCCAUGGCAACCCCCAUGUCACCUGCAACUACACCACCAACCCAACAACCCCUUCCCCCACCUAACUAUGAUGAGCAACGAGUGCCACUAGCUCCCUCAACUGGGCAAGCCUUCCGACAAGAACCCCCUGCACCGUCCGCAACCCAUGAACGAACCCCGGCAAUGCAAAUGUAGCCCCUCCUCCGUACAAACCAACCAACACCAUCUUGCUACCCUGAUCACAUCAACCUUACCCUGUGUGUCGACUUGAAUCCACGUUCUGCCGUGAUCUUUGAGUUCACCAUGUCGAUCACUCCGUCGAACCCUCCAUCGGUACCAGCCUUCUUUGUUAUUUCUAUGGCUUCUGCUUCACUAAGAUUUCUAUCCCAUAGCACAGUUCCGUCAGCUCCUCUCUCUAACGCCACCUUAAGGUUCUUUUCCUGUAUGAGUGAGACCACUGCAUGGUAACAUACACGCAACUUCAAGGGGAAUAGAUGGGGGAACUUUGACUAAAUAUUUUUUCUCACGAACCCAAA